UACGGGGGGGGUAAGCGUUGUUCGGAAUUAUUGGGCGUAAAGGGCUCGUAGGCGGUUUGUCGCGUCGGGAGUGAAAACCAGGUGCUUAACACCUGGCUUGCUUUCGAUACGGGCAGACUAGAGGUAUUCAGGGGAGAACGGAAUUCCUGGUGUAGCGGUGAAAUGCGCAGAUAUCAGGAGGAACACCGGUGGCGAAGGCGGUUCUCUGGGAAUGACCUGACGCUGAGGAGCGAAAGUGUGGGGAGCGAACAGG
rnacentral:rRNA from 1 species